rnacentral:rRNA from 1 species
AGCGCAGGCGGCCAAGUUAGUCCAAAGUGAAAUCCCGGGGCUCAACCUCGGACGUGCUUUGGAUACUGCUUGGCUUGAGUACGUGAGAGGUAAGCGGAAUUCCAGGUGUAGCGGUGAAAUGCGUAGAUAUCUGGAGGAACACCGGUGGCGAAAGCGGCUUACUGGCACGAGACUGACGCUGAGGCUCGAAAGCGUGGGGAGCGAACGGGAUUAGAUACCCCGGUAGUCCACGCCGUAAACGUUGUGCACUAGGUGUAGGAGGUAUCGACCCCUCCUGUGCCGUAGCUAACGCAUUAAGUGCACCGCCUGGGGAGUACGCUCGCAAGAGUGAA